rnacentral:rRNA from 1 species
AUUGAACGCUGGCGGCAUGCCUUACACAUGCAAGUCGAACGGCAGCACGGGUGCUUGCACCUGGUGGCGAGUGGCGGAACGGGUGAGUAAUACAUCGGAAUGUACCUUGUAUGGGGGGAUAGCUCGGCGAAAGCCGGAUUAAUACCGCAUACGCUCUGAGGAGGAAANCGGGGGGACCUUUCGGGUCCCUACGUCGCUACAAGAGCAGCCGAUGUCAGAUUAGCUUGUU